rnacentral:rRNA from 1 species
CGGGCCGCUGCAGCAGUGGGGAAUAUUGGGCAAUGGGCGCAAGCCUGACCCAGCAACGCCGCGUGAGGGAAGAAGGUUUUCGGAUUGUAAACCUCUGUCCUUGGGGACGAAGAAGUGACGGUACCCAAGGAGGAAGCUCCGGCUAACUACGUGCCAGCAGCCGCGGUAAUACGUAGGGAGCAAGCGUUGUCCGGAAUUACUGGGCGUAAAGGGUGCGUAGGCGGCAUAUUAAGUCAGGUGUGAAAUACUCGGGCUCAACCCGGGGGCUGCAUUUGAAACUGGUAUGCUUGAGUGUGAGAGAGGAAAGUGGAAUUCCUAGUGUAGCGGUGGAAUGCGUAGAUAUUAGGAGGAACACCAGUGGCGAAGGCGACUUUCUGGCUCAUAACUGACGCUGAGGCACGAAAGCGUGGGGAGCAAACAGGAUUAGAUACCCCGGUAGUC